AAAGAUAAAAAAACGCACCUCUCGACACCAGGGAACACUCCCCGUCUCUCGUCUCGCUUCGUCAACUCCAUGCGGUCGAGCGGGUGAGUGCCGCCGCCGCCGCCUGCCGAUCUCCUCCGACGACCUCGCGACAGCAGCAUCUCCUCCGCCGGCGUCUCUACAGCCACCUUCUUUGCAUCAGAUCCUGUUGAAGAAGACUCAGAAGUAGAGCAAGACCAGGACGUGAGCUGAAUGCGUGAGCGUGUGAUCUGACACAUGGGCUCCUCUUCCUCUCCCUGGUCCUUCCUAGGUCGGCCUCUUGUUCCAGGACAAGAGCACUUGGUGGAAAAAAUGCAUAGAAGCUAAAACUUUUGUGAUAGGAGUGGCGCAAGUGCGGUUUAUGGUUGAUUAUUGUGUUGCCGAUUACUUGAAGAUCACAUAUAGCUCACAUGUUGCUUCUGCUUUUAUUCAUCCCCCUUGGAAUGGAUGGCGGAGCGUAGGUAGAAGGCGCAUGAUUUUUCUUUGGUUUUCUUGGAAGGAACUACCUAGCUAGUAAUCUAUCUCCAUGGUCUGUCUUCUCUAUGAAUUUUACCUCCAACUGUGGACAACACCAUAUCGAAGUAAUUCAUCUCUGUUAGGCAACAAUGUCUGGUGGUUGAUACAAUCUUUUGAUUGCUGAUUUUGAUAGGUCAAAGUAGUUUGUAAUAUAGGAUUUGCAUGUUGUGAAUUGUUUUAGCUAUGUCUCGUUGCGAGUAUGUUGGUGCUGGUCGAGAUGGAUUAAGCUUAUGUAUGGAAUAGCAUAUGCCCGUUACCCCAAGGACCAUACAGUAACUAUUUUGCUAUUUUGGAUAAUAUCUUGAUAAUAUAUGGAUUAUGCUUAUA